GGAGAGAUGCCGGAGCGGUUGAACGGGGCGGACUCGAAAUCCGUUGAUGGAUUCUGUCCAUCCGAGGGUUCGAAUCCCUCUCUCUCCG
rnacentral:tRNA from 1 species